rnacentral:ncRNA from 1 species
AGGGAUUUUUUUGUAGUAAUAGUAGGCUAGUCUCAUGAGAUCUAUGCCGGCCGUCAGAAUCAAAUGAAGGAUGAAGGACCAUUUGAUUCACUAAGGGGCAUAAUCCAAUGAUUCUUAGCUGGUAUUUUUGAAUAAUUAUUCAUACUAGGACUGAGACACGUCCCAAAAUCCCACUGGGAGCUGCAAUGAGGAAUCUUGGACAUUGGGUAAAAACCUGAUCUAAUAAUAUCGCAUGAAUAAAGAAGGGCAAUGACACUUGUAAUUCGUCGAGUGCGCGAUCAUGAUAGGACUCCAGGAAGAGCCUCGAGUAACUCUGUGCCAAUAGAUGUGGGAAGAUGGGAGAGGGUUCAGUGUUCUUCAGAAUCAUUAGGCGUAAAGGGAACAUAGGUGGUGAAUUGGGUUAAAGUGAAAGCCACCAAAAAUUGAAGGAACACUCUAAAAAACAAUUCACGUGAGUGAGACAGAAGAGAGUGGAAUUUCAUAUAUAGGGGUGAAAUCUAGAGAUCUAUGAAGGAAUCCUAAAAUCGAAGGCAUCUUUGGGUCCGUACCGAUGCUGAGGAUAAAAAACAUGGGGAGCAAACAAGAUUAGAUACCCUGGUAGUCCAUGCCAUAAAUGAAGAGUAUUGGCCCUCAGUCUAUGUAGAUUAGGGGCCCAACUAAUGCGUGAAACACUCUACC